AACGAACGCUGGCGGCAUGCCUAACACAUGCAAGUCGAACGAGAUCUUCGGGUCUAGUGGCGCACGGGUGCGUAACGCGUGGGAAUCUGCCCUUUGGUUCGGAAUAACAGUUGGAAACGACUGCUAAUACCGGAUGAUGACGAAAGUCCAAAGAUUUAUCGCCAGAGGAUGAGCCCGCGUAGGAUUAGCUAGUUGGUGUGGUAAAGGCGCACCAAGGCGACGAUCCUUAGCUGGUCUGAGAGGAUGAUCAGCCACACUGGGACUGAGACACGGCCCAGACUCCUACGGGAGGCAGCAGUGGGGAAUAUUGGACAAUGGGCGAAAGCCUGAUCCAGCAAUGCCGCGUGAGUGAUGAAGGCCUUAGGGUUGUAAAGCUCUUUUACCCGGGAUGAUAAUGACAGUACCGGGAGAAUAAGCUCCGGCUAACUCCGUGCUAGCAGCCGCCGCCG
rnacentral:rRNA from 1 species